GAUGAACGCUGGCGGCGUGCCUAAUACAUGCAAGUCGAGCGAACAGACGAGGAGCUUGCUGCUCUGUCGUUAGCGGCGGACGGGUGAGUAACACGUGUAUACCCUACCUAUAAUACUGGUAUAACUUCGGGAAACCGGAGCUAAUACCGUAUAAUAUAUUGAACCGCAUGGUUCAAUAGUGAAAGACGGUUUUGCUGUCUCUUCUAGAUGGAUCCGCGCCGCAUUGGGUAGUUGGUAAGGUAACGGCUUACCAAGGCAACGAUGCGUAGCCGACCUGAGAGGGUGGUCGGCCACACUAGAACUGAGACACGGUCCAGACUCCUACGGGAGGCAGCAGUCGGCAAUCUUCCGCAAUGGGCGAAAGCCUGACGGAGCAACGCCGCGUGAGUGGUGAAGGUCUUCGGAUCGUAAAACUCUGUUAUUAGGGAAGAACAAAUGUGUAAGUAACUAUGCACGUAUUGACGGUACCUAAUAAGAAAGCCACGGCUAACUACGUG
rnacentral:rRNA from 1 species